AUCAGCACCAUAUGUCUAAUGCUGAUUCAGAGCACAUACAGCCUCCUGGAGAACCUUGCCCCAGUCCUGGAACUGUGAAAUUCUCCUUAUAUGCAUGGUGAUCAUUGGUAAUAUGUGAUAAAGAACUACCUAGGUAUCGUCAGUGAUGGCAUCACCGACUCGAUGGACAUGAGUUUGAGCAAGCUCCGGGAGUUGGUGAUGGACAGGAAAGCCUGGCAUGCUGCAGUCCAUGGGGUCGCAAAGAGUCAGACACAACUGAGCGACAGAACUGAGGAACUUCCAGUAAGACCCAUUAGCUCUUCAAUAGAAGGCAUCAACUGAUGAAGGAGGAAACAGACAGAGCUGGACUCCAUCUUAGGCCAGGCUGUGAACAUUAGGCUACACGCAUGGUCACCCUCCCAGUGGACUCUGAACUUUGUGCCUGGUGUCUAUAGAAAUGGCAAACCAAUGGAAAACCAGACCGCCAGAUAAAAGCCUCAGGACUUGUGCUUGGACACCCUGUUGCCUAAAAGAAUAUGCUAAUUAUCUUUGUAACAGAACAAAGUGGUAAAUUCCAUUAUGUUUAUCAGGAUACGACCA